rnacentral:rRNA from 1 species
ACUGAUAUGACGUGCUUGCACUGAAUUGACGUUGGAUUACCAGUGAGCGGCGGACGGGUGAGUAACACGUGGGCAACCUGCCCUGAAGCGGGGGAUAACAUCUGGAAACAGGUGCUAAUACCGCAUAACAACGAAAACCACAUGGUUUUCGUUUCAAAGAUGGUUUCGGCUAUCACUUCAGGAUGGGCCCGCGGUGCAUUAGCUAGUUGGUAAGGUAACGGCUUACCAAGGCAAUGAUGCAUAGCCGAGUUGAGAGACUGAUCGGCCACAAUGGAACUGAGACACGGUCCAUACUCCUACGGGAGGCAGCAGUAGGGAAUCUUCCACAAUGGGCGCAAGCCUGAUGGAGCAACACCGCGUGAGUGAAGAAGGGUUUCGGCUCGUAAAGCUCUGUUGUUGGAGAAGAACGUGCGUGAGAGUAACUGUUCACGCAGUGACGGUAUCCAACCAGAAAGUCACGGCUAACUACGUGCCAGCAGCCGCGGUAAUACGUAGGUGGCAAGCGUUAUCCGGAUUUAUUGGGCGUAAAGCGAGCGCAGGCGGUUGCUUAGGUCUGAUGUGAAAGCCUUCGGCUUAACCGAAGAAGGGCAUCGGAAACCGGGCGACUUGAGUGCAGAAGAGGA